rnacentral:rRNA from 1 species
GACGAACGCUGGCGGCGUGCUUAACACAUGCCAGUCGAACGGAAAGGCUCCAGCUUGCUGGAGUACUCGAGUGGCGAACGGGUGAGUAACACGUGGGUAAUCUGCCCUGCACUCUGGGAUAAGCCUGGGAAACUGGGUCUAAUACUGGAUAUGACCUUUCUCCUUAUGGGGUUUGGUGGAAAGUUUUUCGGUGUAGGAUGAGCCCGCGGCCUAUCAGCUUGUUGGUGGGGUGAUGGCCUACCAAGGCGACGACGGGUAGCCGGCCUGAGAGGGUGAUCGGCCACAUUGGGACUGAGAUACGGCCCAGACUCCUACGGGAGGCAGCAGUGGGGAAUAUUGCACAAUGGGCGGAAGCCUGAUGCAGCGACGCCGCGUGAGGGAUGACGGCCUUCGGGUUGUAAACCUCUUUCAGCAGGGACGAAGCGUAAGUGGCGGUACCUGCAGAAGAAGCACCGGCUAACUAUGUG